rnacentral:rRNA from 1 species
AGCCCAGCUUGCUGGGUGGAUUAGUGGCGAACGGGUGAGUAACACGUGAGUAACCUGCCCUUGACUCUGGGAUAAGCGUUGGAAACGACGUCUAAUACCGGAUACGAGCUUCCACCGCAUGGUGAGUUGCUGGAAAGAAUUUUGGUCAAGGAUGGACUCGCGGCCUAUCAGCUUGUUGGUGAGGUAAUGGCUCACCAAGGCGACGACGGGUAGCCGGCCUGAGAGGGUGACCGGCCACACUGGGACUGAGACACGGCCCAGACUCCUACGGGAGGCAGCAGUGGGGAAUAUUGCACAAUGGGCGAAAGCCUGAUGCAGCAACGCCGCGUGAGGGACNACGGCCUUCGGGUUGUAAACCUCUUUUAGCA